GACGAACGCUGGCGGCGUGCUUAACACAUGCAAGUCGAACGGGAUGAUCUUAAAGCUUGCUUUUAGAGAAUCUAGUGGCAAACGGGUGAGUAACACGUAGGCAACCUGCCGACAGGAUGGGGACAACAUUCCGAAAGGAAUGCUAAUACCGAAUGAAGUCAGAGAAGGGCAUCCUUUUCUGAUGAAAGAUGGCCUCUGAAUAUGCUAUCACCUGUCGAUGGGCCUGCGUCUGAUUAGCUGGUUGGUGAGGUAACGGCUCACCAAGGCGACGAUCAGUAGCCGGUCUGAGAGGAUGAACGGCCACAUUGGGACUGAGACACGGCCCAGACUCCUACGGGAGGCAGCAGUGGGGAAUCUUCCGCAAUGGGCGCAAGCCUGACGGAGCAACGCCGCGUGAGUGAAGAAGGUCUUCGGAUCGUAAAGCUCUGUUGAUGGGGACGAAUGUACGGAGUGCGAAUAGUGCUCUGU
rnacentral:rRNA from 1 species